rnacentral:rRNA from 1 species
UACAGAGGUCCCGAGCGUUGUUCGGAUUCAUUGGGCGUAAAGGGUGCGUAGGUGGCGCUGUAAGUCGGGUGUGAAAUCCUGAGGCUUAACCUCGGAACUGCAUUCGAUAACUGCGGCGCUUGAGGACUUGGAGGAGGAGACUGGAAUUCAUGGUGUAGCAGUGAAAUGCGUAGAGAUCAUGAGGAAGACCAGUGGCGAAGGCGGGUCUCUGGACAGUUCCUGACACUGAGGCACGAAGGCCAGGGGAGCAAACAGG